rnacentral:rRNA from 1 species
GAUGAACGCUGGCGGCGUGCCUAAUACAUGCAAGUCGAGCGAACGGACGAGAAGCUUGCUUCUCUGAUGUUAGCGGCGGACGGGUGAGUAACACGUGGAUAACCUACCUAUAAGACUGGGAUAACUUCGGGAAACCGGAGCUAAUACCGGAUAAUAUUUUGAACCGCAUGGUUCAAAAGUGAAAGACGGUCUUGCCGUCACUUAUAGAUGGAUCCGCGCUGCAUUAGCUAGUUGGUAAGGUAACGGCUUACCAAGGCAACGAUGCAUAGCCGACCUGAGAGGGUGAUCGGCCACACUGGAACUGAGACACGGUCCAGACUCCUACGGGAGGCAGCAGUAGGGAAUCUUCCGCAAUGGGCGAAAGCCUGACGGAGCAACGCCGCGUGAGUGAUGAAGGUCUUCGGAUCGUAAAACUCUGUUAUUAGGGAAGAACAUAUGUGUAAGUAACUGUGCACAUCUUGACGGUACCUAAUCAGAAAGCCACGGCUAACUACGUGCCAGCACCCGCGGUAAUACGUAGGUGGCAAGCGUUUUCCGGAUUAUUGGGCGUAAAGCGCGCGUAGGCGGUUUUUUAGUCUGAUGUGAAAGCCCACGGCUCAACCGUGGAGGGUCAUUGGAAACUGGAAAACUUGAGUGCAGAAGAGGAAAGUGGAAUUCCAUGUGUAGCGGUGAAAUGCGCAGAGAUAUGGAGGAACACCAGUGGCGAAGGCGACUUUCUGGUCUGUAACUGACGCUGAUGUGCGAAAGCGUGGGGAUCAAACAGGAUUAGAUACCCUGGUAGUCCACGCCGUAAACGAUGAGUGCUAAGUGUUAGGGGGUUUCCGCCCCUUAGUGCUGCAGCUAACGCAUUGAGCACUCCGCCUGGGGAGUACGACCGCAAGGUUGAAACUCAAAGGAAUUGACGGGGACCCGCACAAGCGGUGGAGCAUGUGGUUUAAUUCGAAGCAACGCGAAGAACCUUACCAAAUCUUGACAUCCUUUGACAACUCUAGAGAUAGAGUUUUCCCCUUCGGGGGACAAAGUGACAGGUGGUGCAUGGUUGUCGUCAGCUCGUGUCGUGAGAUGUUGGGUUAAGUCCCGCAACGAGCGCAACCCUUAAGCUUAGUUGCCAUCAUUAAGUUGGGCACUCUAAGUUGACUGCCGGUGACAAACCGGAGGAAGGUGGGGAUGACGUCAAAUCAUCAUGCCCCUUAUGAUUUGGGCUACACACGUGCUACAAUGGACAAUACAAAGGGCAGCGAAACCGCGAGGUCAAGCAAAUCCCAUAAAGUUGUUCUCAGUUCGGAUUGUAGUCUGCAACUCGACUACAUGAAGCUGGAAUCGCUAGUAAUCGUAGAUCAGCAUGCUACGGUGAAUACGUUCCCGGGUCU